ACCUUAAAUAUAUUCUGUCCUUCGCCACUGGGGCGAGGUGAAGGAGAAGCUGGUGGCAUUUCCUCCACCACUGGGGCGAGGUGAAGAUAGAGAAGCCGGUGGCACUAUAUCAAGAGGCAGAGAUCAGAUGUGCACGAAACAGGUGUCUGCUUCAAUCCCUGGUAUUGUUCAGUUUGCUCCUCAAUCUUCCCAUUCUGAUACUCAAUUGUUUUUAACACCGCCGUUUUGAAGGAUUUUUGGUUGAACGGUUUCAUUGUUGAGAUUUUGAUGCGAUCUAGGGCAUGAAUUAACAAUCAAUCAAUCAUUGUAAACAUGCCAUCUUGUUCUGACACCAGUGUCAACAAGCACCGUCCUAGAUCAUAUCAAGUGCCAAUGAGAAGAUCCUGUCACCUAAUCUCAACAAGCACCGCCUGCUCCUUCGGUGUCUGCCUCUCCGACGACAUAUUCUUCACCUGUACCAUUGUGCCGUGGGUGAAGACAGCUCUCUGUCCUGCGACCAAACAAGGUGAGGCUUUGGUUUGAUUUUGUUCCCCUUGCUAUGGAUCAAUGAGUACCGGUCCAUGAUGAGUGUUGUUGAAGAGAGGAACUUGGAAGACUUUUUUGUACAAUUCAAUUUUGUGUAUUAGUGUAAUCUAAGGUCCUGCAAACUUCUCAUUAGUUCAUUUUGUUGAGUAAUAAAUUUAAUAGGAUAUUCUGUAUACAUCUAUUUCCUUGUGGUAGUUUUUCUAUUAUGUUUCCUAUCAGGACUGCUAAGAGAAUAGGAAUACCUGAUGACAAGAGGAUCAUAACUAUGUUGGCAGAUGAUACUGCUCGUAAUCUCAAUAAUAAUUGUCCAACCCCAUUUUACAUCAAUGAGAAUCACUAGUUAAAUUAGCUAAAUCUUUAUGGGGACAAUGUUGAGGUGAGCGUCUUCACUCUGAAAUUAUUGUUACUGAACCACAACAUCAGUGUGCCCAAGCCUAAUAACACUGCACAAUUCACCAGCCGUAUGGGUAAUCUUUAUGAUUCUGGUUAUGAAAUGAGCUGAUGCGUGGCGAUGAUGAUAGAGAUGGUAACUGCAAAGGUAUUUUCACUAGCUCUAAACCAUUUGUCAAAGGACAUACUCAGCAACUGGGAAGUCAUUGCUGUCAACCAAGGUAGUGUAGACGUCCAAGGAAAGAAAGUGCAAUCCAACAAUGGCUUGGAGGCAAGGAUUUAUCAGCCUCUGCAAUCUGCAUUAGUGCCUCCCAUGAAGCACCUUGUUCUACAGCAAAACCACAAAUAGCUUUAGCAAGAUUCUGAGGAUAACAGUGAUGUCUUCUUUUAUAGGUUUGGGUUGGGCCGCUCAGCAACAACAGGAAGGCUGUGGUUCUCUGGAACUGACAGGGCUACCAGGCAACCAUCACUGCGCAAUGGUCAAACAUUGGGCUUGCUUUGUCCACUGUUGUCACUGCUCGUGAUCUUUGGGCGGUAAGCUUUGCUUUCUUCAGAUCCCAUACUGGACAUUAUAAUCAAGUAUGAAGGUUGAUGGUUCAGACAUCAGAUUUCAUAUUCCAUUUCUUGUGCAUUUGUGCAACACUCGUCCUUCUUGGCCCAGGGCCAAUUAUCAGCUUCAGUGGCACAUCAUGAUAGCAAGAUGUAUGUCCUGACCCAAAGUAACUUUUAGCAGAGAACUGCAAGAUGUAUGUCAUGAAAUUUGAUGUAGUUGGUGACUAGCUGCUGUUGAAGCAGGCAACUAAAAUGAGAAAAGGUCCAUUAUGGUUU